UACGUAGGGUGCAAGCAUUAAUCGGAUUUAUUGGGCGUAAAGGGCGCGUAGGCGGUCUGUCACGUCGGCUGUGAAAUCCCGAGGCUCAACCUCGGGUCUGCAGUCGAUACGGGCAAACUAGAGUAUUGCAGGGGAGACUGGAAUUCCUGGUGUAGCGGUGAAAUGCGCAGAUAUCAGGAGGAACACCGGUGGCGAAGGCGGGUCUCUGGGCAAUAACUGACGCUGAGGAGCGAAAGCGUGGGGAGCGAACAGG
rnacentral:rRNA from 1 species